rnacentral:sRNA from 1 species
AGAAAUCCAUGUGCUUGCACAAUGGAUUGAUUAUGCUUUAGAAACCCGCCAAAAUAUGAGGAUGGAGCGGUGUGCCGCGGAAUCCGAAUAUUUUGCAGGAUUGCGGGAGCACAGAGUGCGGAGCAAUCCGUAGGUGU